AUGAUGCGCGUGCUGGCGUUCUGGACGGCGGCGUGUGUCCUCUGUGCUCGAGGGACAUGUGUCCCUCUGCUGGAUGAGAAGAGCGCUGACUGUGAUUCUGAUGAGGUAAGACCAGCGGCCGGCUGUGACCGACGCGAGACCGAGAAAGAGGGAGAACAUGAACACACCCGCGACUCGUGGGAGGAGGACGAGGAGGAGGGAGCGAUGAAGGAGCAGAAUGAGCGAGACCUGGACGAGCUUCUGCAGGAGGAGAUCCAGAGGAGACCAGACCAGGAGCUGGAGAGGAAACACAGGAGAAACCAGGAGGAGGAGGAGAACGACACCAAGAGCUGGAACAAGGAGAAGGAGGAGGAGGAGCUGCAGGAGCUGAUGAGGAAGAUGAAAGAGGAGGAGGAGGAAGAGGAGAAGAAGGAGGAGGAGAAGCGGGAGAUGGAGAACGCCAGCGAUGAGGCCACACGACAGUUCGAGAGAGAGAGAGACGAGGAAGAGGAGGAGAGACGGCAUGAUGAAGAGGAAGAGGAGGAGGAUGAAGAUGAGGUGAGAGAUUCAGAUGUUCAUCACAGCAACUCCAUUAGCACUAAACAAUAUAGAAAUAAAACUAUAAAAAAUGUAUAUUAUUAUAAAACAUACAUAUUGAAUUUACAUUUGUAUAUAAAAUAAAAUUAUUAUUAUCAUUAUAUUUUUCUAAAAGAAUAGAUUAGUAAUAAAAAAUAUUAUGACAAAGCUGCUUGAUGUCA
ensembl:lncRNA